AGGUGGCUGAGAAACAUCAACUACUGGCUCAUGGACUAUGGAUUUCUGAGGAUCUAUAGCUCUAGACUCUUCAGAGACCUUCUCUUUGAGUUCCAUUAACCUUCCACUGCCGUCAUCCUGGAUAAACUAUUUUUUCAGGAACACGACAUUUUGACUUACAAUCACAUUGUGGUCUUGUGAAAAAUAGAAGUAGUAUCCCAUGGAUUCUUUUGGGUACCCUAUAAAGCGAGCUAUAAUAGAUCUAUCCUCCAAC
rnacentral:lncRNA from 1 species